rnacentral:rRNA from 1 species
CAGCCGCCGCGGUAAUACGUAGGGUGCAAGCGUUGUCCGGAAUUAUUGGGCGUAAAGAGCUCGUAGGCGGUUUGUCGCGUCUGCUGUGAAAUCCCGAGGCUCAACCUCGGGCUUGCAGUGGGUACGGGCAGACUAGAGUGCGGUAGGGGAGAUUGGAAUUCCUGGUGUAGCGGUGGAAUGCGCAGAUAUCAGGAGGAACACCGAUGGCGAAGGCAGAUCUCUGGGCCGUAACUGACGCUGAGGAGCGAAAGCGUGGGGAGCGAACAGGAUUAGAUACCCGCGUAGUCCCUGUCUCUUAUAC